AUUGAACGCUGGCGGCAGGCCUAACACAUGCAAGUCGAACGAGUGGCGGACGGGUGAGUAAUGUCUGGGAAACUGCCUGAUGGAGGGGGAUAACUACUGGAAACGGUAGCUAAUACCGCAUACCAUCAGAUGUGCCCAGAUGGGAUUAGCUAGUAGGUGGGGUAAAGGCUCACCUAUGCGACGAUCCCUAGCUUGUCUGAGAGGAUGACACGCCACACUGGACCUGAGCCACGGUCCAGACGCCUACGGUAGGCAGCAGUGGGGAAUAUUGCACAAUGGGCGCAAGCCUGAUGCAGCCAUGCCGCGGGUGUGAAGAAGGCCUUCGGGUUGUAAAGCACUUUCAGCGGGGAGGCGUUACCCGCAGAAGAAGCACCGGCUAACUCCGUGCCAGCCGCCGCGGUAAUAC
rnacentral:rRNA from 1 species